rnacentral:lncRNA from 1 species
CACACCACGCUCCCGGCUCCCACCUGGGUGGCUGGGCUCCUUGCCCGGCCCAAAGGACCACGAAGGUGGGACGGGCUCCCUUUUUACUUCUGGAGGUCCAAAUCACAUCACUUGGGUGUUAAGGUACCUGGCGCCAAGACAUAAACUCAGGCUACACUGCUCAGCCCCAGGGCUCGAGCUGGUGGUCCUUCCAGCAGCAGUUUACCUGCAUAAGGUGAGACUUCAAUUUAACCACCUUGGAAUAAUUCAUGUAUCCUCAGGACCAGGCAGGGCUAACCCACCUUUGCCAGUAGUUUAAUGCAGCUACCUGCAAUGGGCUGUGCAUGGACAUCCAAGGAGCAAGGAUCACAUGGAGAAGCAUCCCUGAGCCGGCUGCGCUGCUUGCGGGAAGGCAGCCUUGCUUCCCACGGCCAGCCUUGGAUCGUGCUUGACAGACAAGGGAAACUGAGGCAGGAUGGCAUCACGGACUGUGCGGAGCUGAGACCCCACCAAGAAGAUAACACAGUGGCUCUUGCAAAAGAUGUUCUCCACAGGAAACAAACUAUGAAGGGACGCUGGCUGGGUUAAGACCAAGCAUCAAGGUUCCAUGGCUUGCCCAAAAGGCACAGUGGUAAAAUCCCCUCCUUCUCCUUGCUUGGCCCUAUAGCCAUGGGAGGGAUCCAUGGGGAAAGGGAUGCUGAGACCCAUCGAGCCCCCAGUCCCACACCCAGGCACUGCUGGGGAACAGCUUGGGCAAUGGGUACGUAUCCAGGGUGUGCGCAGGGCAGGGAAUGGACUCCCGCUGUUACUCAUUAUAAGGACGCCGUUUCUGACUCCUUUGGCAACCGAGAGGUAAAAAUUAAUGGGUCCCUGUCCUCUCGCCACACCCCCAGCCCCCAGCCCCGGUGCUGACGCGGCGGGAACACGCAAUGACUAAUCCUCCCUAAACCCUGCUGAGGGAAGCAUUACUGCUGAACUCCGGCAGCUGGGUUUUUUCCAAACCCGCGUGACGUUUGGCACCUGCAAGGGACAAGUCAGGGGAGAAGCAUCCAUCAGAGGCACGAAAAGAGGAG